CAAUCUGCCUUGGAGUGGGGAAUAACGGCUGGAAACAGCCGCUAAUACCGCAUGAAGCAGCUGGGAGGCAUCUCCCUGGCUGCCAAAGAUUUAUCGCUCUGAGAUGAGCUCGCGUCUGAUUAGCUGGUUGGCGGGGUAACGGCCCACCAAGGCGACGAUCAGUAGCCGGACUGAGAGGUUGGCCGGCCACAUUGGGACUGAGACACGGCCCAGACUCCUACGGAAGGCAGCAG
rnacentral:rRNA from 1 species